rfam:Daphnia pulex DAPPTscaffold_24_Cont1456, whole genome shotgun sequence.
GUGCCUUAAACUAAUGAGUAAGGAAAAUAAUAAGCCUUGGUAACGCUUGGCUACAUACGUAAGCCUCGUGCGUACGGUGCUAAUUUUUGGUGAGGUAUAAGUCGUCCCUGGGUGAGUGCUCGCCUACUUUGCGAGUGCUCAAUACCUGGGUGCUUACGAUUUGCCUC